GUACACCAUAGGUAGCGUGCGGAGUUGGCUCCUUGGGUCAGUGGGUUGUGGGCAAUGAGUUCUGUCUGCGGGACGUCAGUUGCGUCGACAUCUUUUCAGGUAACCGGAUCAUAGGUGUCACAGAGAGUUGAGCCCGGUGCCACCAGUGCUUGGCUAUUCUUCUGGGUUAGACGGGUGUGAAGGUGCUUCGUGUAUGCGGUUUUCCCUUGGGCCUCUCCGUGAGUGCCUUGGCUGUCUUUGUGGUCUGGGUUCUCGGUCCAGUGGUUCCAGGAUCCAGUCUGGGAUUGCUAUGGGCGGGAGGUCCAGCCGUUGGAGAAAGCGUGGUAUUUCGUCCGGCCAGCGCGCAGCGACCCAUUCGUUCUGGUGUCUCACUUGGAUGCUAAAUGGGAAGCCCCAUUUGUAUGGGAUAUUGCGUUCCCUUAGUGCUGUAGUGAUAGGUCUGAGAGCGCGUCUAGCCUCUAACGUGGUAGGGGAGAGGUCAUUAUAGAGGGAGACUUCCGUUUCUUGAUAACGCCACGUGGGUCGAGCCCUAGCCCGUUGCAUUAUGCGAUCUUUAAGGGGGAAUGAGUGUAAGCAGCAUAUAAUGUCUCUGGG